rnacentral:rRNA from 1 species
UUUAGUCUAUUUGAUGGCCAAAUUUCUAUAUGGAUAACUGUGGAAAUUCUAGAGCUAAUACAUGCGUAAAGACCCGACUUCGCGGAAGGGUUGUGUUUAUUAGAUACAGAACCAAUACCUUCGGGUUUUUGGAGGACUCAUAAUAAACGAACGGAGCGCGUUGGCACGAGCCGGCGCCAGAUCAUUCGAGAUUCUGACCUAUCAGCUUUCGACGGUAGUGUAUUGGACUACCGUGGCAUUGACGGGUAACGGAGAAUUAGGGUUCGAUUCCGGAGAGGGAGCCCGAGAAACGGCUACCACA